UACAGCUAGGAUUAUAAUUCAACUCUCGGCCUACGUGCCCACUGCUGGUUCUACCCAUCACGGCCACACACUUGAACGUUUGCAGCAUUUCCCAAACAAACCCAGGUGUGGCUGUCACACCGGCUGACUCCGAAAAUGCCACGUAAAGAUCUUGGUUCAGCAAGUGCUGGAGUAUCAUAAAAAUCUCCAAGAGUUAGACUGGUGAAUCAUGCUGUUGCCACUAAUAGUCAUAUGACAUAGUUGAAAAUUUCAUCAACUUCAACAAAUAAUCAAGAUGGCUUCCCCCUGUGCUGAGAACACCCUCCUGCCUGAAGGAUAAUGUUGUUUCCCCUCAGGACUUCGUUUAUGUAUUUUGUCCCUCAGGAAACUGUCUGCUACAUUACAGCUGGCAGGUGGUCCAGUGACACUCCCUGGCCCCUGUGCUUACUACUAUUAUCUCAGAGAACUUAUCUUUUAUAUUUUAAUCUAUUUAUUUUAUUUCCUACUGAAUUUAAAUUUCUUGAGGGCAAGACCUUUGACUCAUUCACUAUUUUAUGUGUAGAACA